CGUUUUGGAUAUUGGGAAAUCGAAAGUGGAUUCAUACGAAAAUGGCGGUCAGGUUGCAAACAUAGCAACAAAAAGGUUCAGACGUUGUUUACGAGGUGUGCUGUUCUAUCUGCGAAGAUGAUUGCAUAUAAACAGAAGGACGGUUUAAUUGUCAAACAUGUUCAACAUAUUUCUGCGACAGUUGUGUUAACGCAUAAUAAGUUCCUCAAGGAACAUGUAGUAAGUGAGGAAGGGGACGGUGACAAUUGGCCUGUAACUUAAACCGUGGAUGAUGGACUUGAGUUAUGUGAGGAACACUUAACUGAGAAACUGACGAUGUUCUGUGAAGAUGAUGAAAAGCUACUCUGUCACGUCUGUCUGCUCCGUAAUCACAAGCAAUGUAGUCAGGUAGUUCUAUUGAGUGACAAGGUACAAUCUACCACACGACCCAUGGACGUAGCUCAAAUGAAGACAAGUAUUGAAUCAGCAAUGUAUCGUUUAGAGGAUAUCGUGAAAAUAGGAGAACAAAAUAUUAUAUCUCUCCAAACGUCAUACGAAAAUGUUUUGAAAGAAAUAGUUGAUGUUCGUCGACGAAUAAACGACAAUUUAGAGCGACUGCAACACAUUAGAAAAAGAAAAUUGGAAGAGUUGCAUUCACAAUUUAAAAUGAUUUGAAAAAUAAAAGAAAACGCUGUUGUGAAUGUAUUGCCAUGUUAAAGGGGUUUAACAUACACGAGACGUUUCCUGAACGAUCGUUUAUAAUGUACAGAAAAUGUUUAGAAAAAGCCGCAUCGACAGAUUUUUUUCUUCAAAAAGUAACUACAAAUGCUGCCAUAGAAUUUCACCUCAACAAAGAUUUAGAGCAGUUGAUUACAUCUUGUACAGAGUUCGGAAGCAUAACAAAUCUCGAAGUUGUGUCACAUCAUUUCGUUGACUCUAACAAGAUUGUAAGCGUUACGGGCAGAUCACGAUACAAAGUGCGAACAUCGACUGAUUACAACGACUGUUACAUAAGGGGUAUAUGCUUUUUGUCCGAUGGUAAGUUCAUCAUGGCAGACCACAAAAAUAAGUGCGUGAAACUUCUUGAUAAGACAUACAAUUGUAUAAUGCAAACAGAACUAGUUGGUUACCCGUUGUCAAUGUGUACCAUAUCCACCAACGAGGUGGCGUUGACUGUUGGUUACCUGCGAUCCAUUAACGAGAAUUACUUCUUAUGAGUCGAUAAAGGGAAUAUUGAAAUGUUUAAGAGACUAAAACUUAAACAUGAUUGUAACGGUAUUGCGAUUCACCAGGAGGACCUUUUUGUAACGUCCGGUUCUUCAGUGGAUCAAUACACCUUGGAUGGGCAGAAAGUUAAUACGUUAUAUGAGGAUACAUGGGGAGCAAAGAAUGUUGUAGGUGUUGGGGUGAGCCCUGACGGAAAGAAGGUAUAUGUGACGGAAAGGUUCAAUGGCAUUCUCCGCACACUAUCAAGGGAUGGAGCAGUCACAGCCAACCUCCAGGAUCCUGCAUUUAAAACGUCUAAUUUCAUAGAUAACAUACUCGUGACAGCCAACGGACAGGUGUUUGUCUUAGGUGACGAUAUUGUAAGUCAAGUUGACACGGAGGGCAAGAAAGUUCUCAAAACCAUAAAGCUUGAUAUAUCCCGCCUUGGAUCAAUCUACGUCAAUGACGACACAAGCCAGAUGAUUGUUGGAUACUCUGGAAACGACGUCAUUGAGUUGACAAUAAAUAUAUCCUGACUUCUUCACAGUUAUUUUACAGCGUACGAACUUGUUUCAAGCAUUAAAGUGAUUUGUAUUAUGAGUAUCGAUAUAUUUUCUGCGUUAGUGUGACAUGUAUUCGCUAUUCAAACUAAUCAUUUUGUUUACAGUUGGACUAACUUUGCACCUCUUUAUUUAAUUAAGUUAUCAUGUUCUCAACCUAUAAACUUGUUUGGUAUUGUUACUUGUUUCUUCUUAACUCUUUGCUGUUUUGCGUGUGUGUCUAAAGUAAACAAACUCUUUCUUUGUUAACCAUUAUACUCAACAUUUCGUAUUCGCACGUAUUCUUUCUUUUUAACAUUGAAUAGUUUUUUACUUGUGUAUUUCCACAAUGCCAUUAUUAUUGAUGUACACAUCUGUUAACACAUGUAUUGUAUUUCGUCAAUUGCAUUGAGUUUACGUGUGUGCAAAUGUGUUCAGAUUUGUUUCAGGCAAUAUAGUUUUCUAUUUUUUAGUCUUACUGUGUUUUCAUUAUUUACCUUCAUUUAUUAGUUCUAAUUAGAAGUAUAGCAGUUAAGUACUUAUUGUUACGACUGAAGAUGAUGUGCAUGCAUGUUUGCACGUGUUCCCUGAUUUAAACAAAUUAACUUAUACUCCACCAUCAAACAGACCAUUAAGUCUCCAAUCAUCUCUUCUAUACAUUGCUAAUAUUUUGCUGCUUUUUCCACAAUACAAGUAUUAUAGUUGUUUUAGUAUUUUGCCCAAAUCAUCUUUUUAUGUGUGUGCUUAUCUAUUCCGACAUAAUUGUGUCCAAUUCAUCUCUUUAACGUUCUGCUUAUUUGGUCUAAGUUAAACAAUAAAUCGUGUUUCCAUUAUAUACACUAUUUUGUGAUUUUUAAUUGGAAGUAAUGAAUUCAAGUGCGUUAUUUUAAUAAUCAGGGCAUUGUGCAUGAGCGCCUUGCGUAUUGUCCAUAAUAUGCCCACAUCGGUGUGUUUGAUUGGAACAUAAUGGGCUUUUAAAUUGAGACUUAUAUGAGGUAACUAAAUUGGGCCUCAUGUGGGUUUUAUAAUCUUUAGUUCAACUUGCUUGAAAAAUCAAAAUCUGUGAGAACGUUCAAAAACAAAAUUCACUCAAUGCAGAUGCUGAGAAAGAAAACUGGUUUUGGUACAAAUAAUUGUUUUUUGCAAGCCAUACAUAUUGUAUUAGUUGGAAUCAAUGUAAAUAUGCAUUCUUACAUUUAAGAAAAAACGAUUGUGUUGUUUGUAGAAUGUACGGUGCAAAACAUGUGAAACUUUACAAUGUC